rnacentral:lncRNA from 1 species
GUUUUAAUGAGCCCAGUCUUAAAUAAUAUCAGCACCCUUCUAAUGCUCCCUCUCCUGCAGCCUGAUACUCCACUGCUCUUCUAACAGGGCUGUCACAUCCGGGAAACAGGAAAGGAAAGGAGAGGAUAAAAGAGAGACAACAGGAAAACCUUAGCCCGUGAUGAGCAAAAGCAAAACAGAGGUAGGUUAGAGGAAAGUCUUGGGGUCAGAAAGUGGCUCAUGGGUCAUCCUGAGGAUGUGGCCACUUUGGAUAGCUCUUCUUCACACUGUUUCCCGCUGGACUGCCAACUGCGUGGGGAGGUGACAGGUCUUGCUCACGUCUGGAGUUUAAGACCUACAUCUAGAUGUAUACAGAUGCAUACAUUUUUCUGGAAGAAAAUACAACAGGAAACUAAUAAGAGGCAUGGGGGACAUUGA